GGUGGGUUGGCUCAGUGGUUAGAGCGCCGGUCUCGUAACCGAAAGGUUGCGGGAUCGAAUCCCGCUAGAGGCUG
rnacentral:tRNA from 1 species